rnacentral:rRNA from 1 species
AGAGUUUGAUCAUGGCUCAGAACGAACGCUGGCGGCGCGUUUAAAGCAUGCAAGUCGAACGGUACCCGACCACAUAAUUCCGGAGUUAAGUCUCGAGUUAUGUUAAGCAUGAUUGCAGGAGUAUUGAUAUUCCUGGGAAUUAUGUGGCCGGGGAGAGUGGCGAACGGGUGAGUAACACGUAGGUAAUCUACCUCUGGAUGCGGGAUAGCCUUUAGAAAUAAGGGGUAAUACUGCAUAAAAUCUGAUUAUAAAUAUGGUUGGAUCAAAGGUGCAAUUGCACUGUCUGGAGAUGAGCCUGCGGUCCAUUAGCUUGUAGGUGGGGUAAAGGCCUACCUAGGCUGUGAUGGAUAGCCGGCCUGAGAGGGUGUACGGUCACACUGGGACUGAGACACGGCCCAGACUCCUACGGGAGGCAGCAGCUAAGAAUCUUCCGCAAUGGGCGCAAGCCUGACGGAGCGACGCCGCGUGAAUGAAGAAGGCCGAGAGGUUGUAAAGUUCUUUUCUUAGGGAAGAAUAAUUACAGGAGUGGAAAGCCUGUAUGAUGACGUUAACUAAGGAAUAAGUCCCGGCCAAUUACGUGCCAGCAGCCGCGGUAACACGUAAGGGGCGAGCGUUGUUCGGAAUUAUUGGGCGUAAAGGGCGUGUAGGCGGUUUUAUAAGCCUGGUGUAAAAGGUACUGGCUCAACCAGUAUUUUGCGCUGGGAACUGUAUGACUUGAGUUCAGGUGG